CCGCCCACGCGCCCGCCGCUCGCUGCUGUGCACCGCCAUCUCCGUUCCCUCGCACUAGGCGACCUCCCCGAGUGAACCAGCCUCUGUCCAGCUCGGUUCUGCUCCGACCAGCCACCUUCAGCCACUGCCUAGCGCCGCCGGACUUCCCUCGGCGUCCCCCUCGCCCUCCGCCGGCCUCCCCUUGCCGCCCUAGCCCCUGGACGAGCUUUGUCCAGCCAAGAACAGUGGCUGGAAAAAUGGGUUUCCAGCACUGUUCAAGGCUAAUUUGGGCCGUUUCCCGGCCCCGAACCCGAGCGGUGCUUUGGGAAGAAUCGUUCCUCAUGUCGCCGCCGUCGGAUUGAUCCGAUUUGUGCGCGAUUUGGUCAGUAAUCUCACUAAUCCUGGAUUAGUUGGCUAAUUAUGCUUAAGGUUGGUUUAGAUUUAAUUAAUUAUGUUUAGAUUGUUAGAUUAGAAUAAAUUAGCGAUUAUUAGUCAAUUGUGAUGCGAUUUAGAUAAAUUGAUUGUGUAAUUAGCAAGUAGACGUGGUCUACUAAUUAUUGGAAGUGCCUCGGGAUUUUUCCCGACCCUUAGUGGGCUCCAAUUAGGCUUUUCGGGCCUAAGUGGAUUUUUUUGUAUUUAAAUAUUAAUUUACGGAAUUAAAUUAAAUAAUUAUUUAUUUUCUGAAAAUUCAACUGAGAUGGCCCGAGACCGGAAUAUUGUGCUGAUGACUGUGGUGAAGUCUGUUUAUUUAAUCGGGCUUUAAUUUGAGCUAAAUGGGAUUUUUAAUAUUAAUUAUUUAAUAUUCGAAAUUAAUUAAAUAAUUAUUUAUUUUUCGAAAAUUCAACUGAGAUGGCCUGGAACCGGAAAAUUAUGCUGAUGACCGUGGUGAAGUCCGUUUAUUUAAUCGGGCUUUAUUUUGUACUAAAUUGAAUUUUUAAUAUUUAUUAAUUAAUUACCCUAAAUUGAUUGGAAUUGAUUGUGAUGAAUUGUGAUCGGUAAAUGGCCAAGUAUGUUAUUCAGCAUUUAUAAUGUUUUGUUGACUUGAUUUAAUUAUUUGAUUGAGAAAUCGUUGGGCAUUGGUUGUCGAUAUUGAAAGUAAAUUGGUAACCACUGCAAAGAGGACACGUGGGCUUGGUGAAUUGGAAUGUCACCUGGAGAAUGCACGUGAGUUCAGUGGUUGAAUAUGUCACCUUGGCGAAAAGGUCGCCUGAGAGAAUGCACGUGGCUCGGAGACUCGGUAUGUCGUCCUGGAGAAUGCACGUGGCUCGGUGACAGGAUUUGGCAUCUAAAAGGACACAUGGCUCGGUGAUCUGAUGCGUCACUUUGGUAAGCGAGUACCUUAGAGAAUGCACGUGGGUCCAGCAUUUCGGAAUGGCAUCUAAAAGGGCACGUGGCUCGAUGAAUUGAUGCAUUACCUUGGUGAGAUAGCACCUUAGAGAAUGCACGUGGGCCCGGGCAUCGUAAAAAGGACACGUGGCUCGGUGGCUUGAUGUACCACCUUGGCGAAGAGGUCGCCUUAGAGAAUGCACGUGGGUCCGAGGUUUGAGGCACGUGGACUCGGAGACUUGGAAGGUCAUCCUGGAGAAUGCACGUGGCCUAGCUUUUAAAUAUCCCACAGUGGGGAUUGAUUUGUUUGACAUGUAAUCGACUAGGUCGAUGCUUUGAUUUGAUAUUGUGAAUUGACCGACUGAAUGGAAAUGACCGUGAGUGGUCUUGUUGGAAUAUAAUCGACUAGGUCGAUUUGAUCAAUGCUUCGAUCAGUGAUAUGAUUGCUUGGGUGCCUAUUAUGAAUUGUAUUGAUUGGUGGGAUCAGAGGCCAAGGUAAGUCCUCUGCCCUGUGCGUGUUUAGGCAGCCCGUAGUAUAAUAGUUUAUCUAAUCGGGCUUAGUGGGGUAGAACUCGCUGAGACGUAGUCUCAUCCCAGUUUGGGGAACCCAUUUCAGGACCCCAGUGAGAAGCUGAAGAGGAGGAGUCUAAGAAGGAGAACUCGGAGGUGAAACUUAAGGAGAAAGAUUUUUGGGAGAAGAUGAUAAUCCUGAGAAGGGCCUUGAGUACGGCCCGGAUGGCUAAGAAUUUAUCUUCUUUUGAGAUCUCCUUUUUGAUGUGAAUAGUU
rnacentral:lncRNA from 1 species